rnacentral:rRNA from 1 species
AUUGAACGCUGGCGGCAGGCCUACACAUGCAAGUCGAGCGGAUGAAGGGAGCUUGCUCCUGGAUUCAGCGGCGGACGGGUGAGUAAUGCCUAGGAAUCUGCCUGGUAGUGGGGGAUAACGUCCGGAAACGGGCGCUAAUACCGCAUACGUCCUGAGGGAGAAAGUGGGGGAUCUUCGGACCUCACGCUAUCAGAUGAGCCUAGGUCGGAUUAGCUAGUUGGUGGGGUAAAGGCCUACCAAGGCGACGAUCCGUAACUGGUCUGAGAGGAUGAUCAGUCACACUGGAACUGAGACACGGUCCAGACUCCUACGGGAGGCAGCAGUGGGGAAUAUUGGACAAUGGGCGAAAGCCUGAUCCAGCCAUGCCGCGUGUGUGAAGAAGGUCUUCGGAUUGUAAAGCACUUUAAGUUGGGAGGAAGGGCAGUAAGUUAAUACCUUGCUGUUUUGACGUUACCAACAGAAUAAGCACCGGCUAACUUCGUG